rnacentral:rRNA from 1 species
UAUUUUAGUCUUGUUAGAGGAACCUGUUUUAUAAUCGAUAAACCACGUAUAUCUUACUUAUUUUAAAUAAUUUGUAUACCGUCAUUAUUAGAUAACUUUCAAAAAAUUAGUUAUUAAAAUUAAAUAAAAUUAAAUAUAUUAGAUCAAGGUGCAGUUAAUAAAUAAGAAAAAAUGGGUUACAAUAAAAUUUAUUUAAAACGAAUUAUAUAAAUGUAAAAAUAUAUGAAGGAGGAUUUAAUUGUAAUUUUUUUAUAAAAUAAUAAUAUGAUAAUAGCUCUAAAAUAU